rnacentral:rRNA from 1 species
GACAGAGGCCUCGAGCGUUAGGCGGAAUCACUGGGCUUAAAGCGUGUGUAGGCGGGCCCGUAAGUGUCUUGUGAAAUCCCACGGCUCAACCGUGGAACUGCUGGGCAUACUGCGGGUCUUGGGCCAACUAGGGGCAGCCGGAACAAGCGGUGGAGCGGUGAAAUGCGUAGAUAUCGCUUGGAACGCCAAAGGUGAAAACAGGUUGCUGGGGAUGCGCUGACACUGAGACGCGAAAGCCAGGGGAGCGAACGGG